UAGGGAAUCUUCGGCAAUGGACGAAAGUCUGACCGAGCAACGCCGCGUGAGUGAAGAAGGUUUUCGGAUCGUAAAACUCUGUUGUUAGAGAAGAACAAGGACGUUAGUAACUGAACGUCCCCUGACGGUAUCUAACUAGAAAGCCACGGCUAACUACGUGCCAGCAGCCGCGGUAAUACGUAGGUGGCAAGCGUUGUCCGGAUUUAUUGGGCGUAAAGCGAGCGCAGGCGGUUUCUUAAGUCUGAUGUGAAAGCCCCCGGCUCAACCGGGGAGGGUCAUUGAAAACUGGGAGACUGGAGUGCAGAAGAGGAGAGAGGAAUUCCAUGUGUAGCGGUGAAAUGCGUAGAUAGAUGGAGGAACACCAGUGGCGGAGGCGGCUCUCUGGGCUGUAACUGACGAUGAGGCUCGAAAGCGUGGGGAGCAAACAGG
rnacentral:rRNA from 1 species